rnacentral:rRNA from 1 species
GACGAACGCUGGCGGCGUGCUUAACACAUGCAAGUCGAACGAAGUGGCGAACGGGUGAGUAACGCGUAAUCAACCUGCCCUUCAGAGGGGGACAACAGUUGGAAACGACUGCUAAUACCGCAUACUUAAGGAGGGGAUUGCGUCUGAUGAGCGAGUUGGAGGGGUAACGGCCCACCAAGGCGAUGAUCAGUAGCCGGGCUGGUAGUCUGAACGGCCACAGUGGGACUGAGACACGGCCCAGACGCUUACGCGAGGCAGCAGUGGGGAAUGUUCCGCAAUGGACGAAAGUCUGCCGGAGCAACGCCGCGUGAGUGAUGACGGCCUUCGGGUUGUAAAGCUCUGUUAAUCGGGACGCGGUCGGAAUAGAAAGCCACGGCUAACUACGUGCCAGCAGCCGCGGUAAUUC